UUGAGCUGUACGAGAUGAAAUUCUCAUAUACGGUUCUCGGGGGGGGGGGGUCUUCUUGGUUUACCUAUCUCAAU
rnacentral:ncRNA from 1 species